rnacentral:lncRNA from 1 species
CAGCUGCAGUACACGCAAGAAGGUUGGGGAGACACGAAACAAAUAAAAACAUACAAAGUCAAGAAAAACCGUUAGGCAGGACGAAGCAGUGCUUUCUACUUGGUUAGAUCUUUAAGAUGCCGGAGGGAAAUGGAAAAGAAGGCCGCCAAUUUACAUCCGGUCUACGGGGCUGUGCUGAAUCGUUGGUAUGAGGAAGAGCUGGAGGCGGUAUGAAAAACAGCUCGUCUCUAAAAAUUAAAUUGCGCAUACGUGUCAACGUCUUCUGGCAGAUCCUCAGGCGAUUCUGAACUAACAACAUCUACAUCUACUCUGCCAUCGGCUACUACCAGACAUCAAUGGAGUGUUCGGGGAAAAAACCCAAAAAACAUCCCAAUCUUGAGAAUACAAUGUGUACGUGGGGUACCGGAUGUCACUCAGGAUCUCAUGACACUACAAUUAGCUCUUGCGGUUUUCAGAAUUUUCAUCUCCACUACAAAAAACUGGGAUAGUGUUGUCGCCGAUGACAUCCGAGUACUUGCGAAAUUCCAACUCAACAGCAUAUUUCGAAUGGCAUAAGAAUUUCGAUCUUGUUUCGACGAGUUGCGAAAUGUCACAGUUCUUUUUUUUUUUUUUUUUGUGAGCAUUCAUGGUAUUACAGGAAUAAUGUGACACGAUGGAGAUGAAUUAACAAGACUUUAUUGAGGAAAACCUGUUGUACCCAUAACAAUGAACUGCGUUUAGCCAGCAGGUUUCCAAAGAAUGAUAUAGCCGUUCCCACCAAAUUUUUUGUUUUGUUUUGAUUUGUUCUGGUUUUCUGACUUUUUCUCGUACUAGUCAGUGCAACCAAUUUCAAACCGGAGCUUCAGCUCGAGGCUAUCACACUUUCAAAAAUGCUCUGGCUAGUGCCACCACCCUCUCGUCACGUAGCUUGCAAGAUACACUGUUUUACUAAGCGUCUGACUCCCCGAGUGAUAUAGAAAUAUAUCUUGUUUCAAUUUUAACGCAGUUAAAUGAUAAGAUAAAUGCGUAAAACCUUCUGCUGCCCAAGUAAAACAUUGCAAGACAAGGAGGCCAUUCAUUCUCUGAAGAUUCAAUUACCGGUUCACGAAGAACAACAAAGUUGAGAAAUCAAUUCAAUUGAUCUUGUGUUGCCCUUUGCCGUCGUAAGAGAGGCAAAAUAAAACGAAAACAGACUUUCUUUGGAUCCUCGUAGUUGUAUCCGUUACCGCCAGGUGGCAGUGUAAAAAGAGUGAAAAGUUAAAAACAACAAAGUAAAACAGGACCACUGAAGGAAAAAUAACACAUUCUGUUAUUCAAGGUUCGAGAAAUACUGAUUUACCACCAAGCACCAUAUUUUUUUCCGCUUUAUAGGUUCCUAGUAGGCUCUCCAAUGACGUGUUAACUCUAUCGAGUCACUUCUGUGUACUAGACAAUUAUAGGUAG